GACGAACGCUGGCGGCGUGCUUAACACAUGCAAGUCGAACGAAGUGGCGAACGGGUGAGUAACGCGUAAUCAACCUGCCCUUCAGAGGGGGACAACAGUUGGAAACGACCGCUAAUACCGACUACGGACGGAGGGGCUUGCGGUGGGUUAGCUGGUUGGGGGGGUAACGGCCCACCAAGGCGAUGGUCAGUAGCCGGUCUGGAAGGGUGAACGGCCACGUUGGGACUGAGACACGGCCCAGACUCCUACGGCAGGCAGCAGGGGGGAAUCGUCCGCAAUGGACGAAAGUCUGACGAAGCAACGCCGCGUGAGUGAUGACGGCCUUCGGGUUGUAAAGCUCUGUUAAUCGGGACGCGGUACCGGAAUAGAAAGCCACGGCUAACUACGUGCCAGCAGCCGCGGUAAUUC
rnacentral:rRNA from 1 species